rnacentral:rRNA from 1 species
UACAGAGGGGGCAAGCGUUGUUCGGAAUUACUGGGCGUAAAGGGCGCGUAGGCGGCCUUCUAAGUCGAACGUGAAAUCCCCGGGCUCAACCCGGGAACUGCGUCCGAUACUGGAUGGCUUGAGUUUGGGAGAGGGAUGCGGAAUUCCAGGUGUAGCAGUGAAGUGCGUAGAUAUCUGGAAGAACACCAGUGGCGAAGGCGGUCAACUGGCCCGUAACUGACGCUCAUGCACGAAAGCGUGGGUAGCGAACAGG